CUGAGACCUUGAGUCUCCUGAAGGAACGUUAAAGACGAUGACGUUGAUAGGUCGGGUGUGUAAGCGCAGCGAUGCGUUGAGCUAACCGAUACUAAUGAACCGUGAGGCUUAACCUUACAACGCCGAAGGUGUUU
rnacentral:rRNA from 1 species